ensembl:snRNA Gm25012 predicted gene, 25012
AAAGCCACACAAGGGAGAUAGGUACUAUGACCCUGAAGGUGGUUUUCCCCCAAAGAGGCUUAUUCAAUGCACUCUGGAUGUGCUGACCCCUGUAACUUCACCAAAUUCAGGGAGCCUUGACUCUGUAAUUAGUGGUAGUUGGAGACUGCAUUUGAAAUCUACCC